rnacentral:rRNA from 1 species
AUUGAACGCUGGCGGCAUGCCUUACACAUGCAAGUCGAACGGCAGCACGGGAGCAAUCCUGGUGGCGAGUGGCGAACGGGUGAGUAAUAUAUCGGAACGUGCCCAGUAUUGGGGGAUAACUGCUCGAAAGAGCAUCUAAUACCGCAUACGACCCGAGGGUGAACGCGGGGGAUCGCAAGACCUCGAGCUAUUGGAGCGCCCGAUAGAAGAUUAGCUAGUUGGUGAGGUAAGGGCUCACCAAGGCGACGAUCUGUAGCUGGUCUGAGAGGACGAACAGCCACACUGGGACUGAGGCACGGCCCAGACUCCUACGGGAGGCAGCAGUGGGGAACUUUGGACAAUGGGAGAAAGCCUGAUCCAGCAAUGACGCGUGCAGGAUGAAGGCCUUCGGGUUGUAAACUGCUUUUGUACGGAACGAAAAGCUCUGGGUUAAUACCCUGGGGUCAUGACGGUACCGUAAGAAUAAGCACCGGCUAACUACGUGCCAGCCGCCGCGGUAA